ensembl:snRNA U6 U6 spliceosomal RNA
AUGCUUGCUUUGGCAGCACAAAUACUAAAAUUGGAAUGAAACAGAGAAAGUUAGCAUGGCCCUUGUGCAAGGAUGACACACAAAUUCGUGAAGCGUUCCAUAUUUUU